AAAAAUUGAAAAAUUUAUGAAUGAUUUAAACAUUAUAAACUUUCCAUCUAACGAUGAAUUUUAUAAAAUUCGUAUUCGUUAUAAAAAUAUCGAAGACUUGUGCACCAUGUAGUAUUUGAUUAAGUGAUGCAUGUUUCGAGGGAAUCCAACUUCAAAAUUUUAUCUAGUCACUCUAAUAUGAUAGUCACUCCUCCUCCUCAAUUAUUUUAUUUUAUAAGCUCCUCCUCCUCAAUAUUCUUCCCAAUCUGGUGAAUGACCCU
rnacentral:lncRNA from 1 species